rnacentral:lncRNA from 1 species
UAGGACUUUUUCCAUUUACCGCAGAUAACUUGUUAGGCUGUAUGUUAGUAACUGCUGUUAUUCUUGGAGUAGUUGGUUUGUUCCAGGUUUGAGUUUUACUUGACACUCUGGGGUCUGGAUUCUCUGCCUUCUCUGGAUUUGGUGUUGCCAUACCUGUAUGCUAAUCAUGUGCUCUGUCCUUGUCAUUACGGCUUAGUUUUGUUUUCUCACCACAGUUUAUACACAUUUGUACCUAUAGGUAAUACCUAUGCCCUUCAUUAAUUACACAAGACAAGAUGAUGUUCUCUAAUAAAACUUACAUGUAUGACCUAAUACGCUCCAUGAUAAAAGAAGUGUAUAACAGAAACAGUGCUGGUACAGAGAAAUGGAGGGUAGUACUCUGUAUAAUAAUUAUCUGUGUUUCAGAAUUUAGUUGGGGAUUGAAUGGAGUCCUGAUAUCAUUUAGUUAAGUCUUUCCAGGGUCCUGUUGGGAUCAUUUAGUUACUAAAACUAAUAUUAUCCACAGGGCCUAUGCAAUUGUUUUAAACUUUGACCAGAGAACUGUAUUUAUUUUUGGUGGCUAUAUUGUGUAUUGAUUAUUACAGAGCCUCUUACUGUGUUUGAGGUUAGGGACAGUCUUUAAAAGUAACAGGGUAGUCAGUCACUGCUUUUUUUCUUUUGGAAAUGUUAAUUUAAAUCUCUAGAGGUUAGAAAAGGGAAGAAAAAGACUAGAACUAAUCCUAUGUGUUUUCAUCUCCAGCAGUUUUACUAUUCAGAAACUCCCGACUUCCACAUAAAGUCUUAGGUCUCAGUAGCUCCAUAUCUAAAACUUUCAUAACCUGAUGCUAAACAGUGUGUUAGAUUUCGUGUAGUUACAAACUUUAUAGCAAUGAACCAAACCAUCUUUUUUUUUUUUUUUUUUUUUUUUUUAAGAAAUAAACCAGUUUGUCUUACUGGCUGCUCAUUUGCUUAUAUAGAAGCAAGAGCGGGGGCGGGGGGAUUUAUUUGGAUAAUUCAUUGUUUGAAGUCUGUCUUGUUUGUUGUUUUAAUGUAAUUAUGAACACAUUUUUCACAAUUCAUUCACAAAUAAGCAGUAAAUCUGAGAAAUUUCACUUUCACCUUUGUUUGAGUUCUUUCAGAUCAGAAUCAACUGAGUACGUUACAGAUAGCUAUUCAAAUAGCAGAAUCCUUUGAGGGUACUUUUAAUUUCAUUCAAUUUGAAUUAAAAAUUUUUCAGUGAGUACUGUUGAUAUGAGCUUUGAUGUGUAUCGUCAUAACUGUAUAUUGUCAGUAUAAAGAUGUUACAUAAAUCUUAUAUUUAAGUAUUCUAAUAAAAUCAGAUGAAGUGG